GAGAAUUAAAUUUAAAAUGUUGUGAAAAUGUAACAUAUUUAACUUAACAGACUGUAAUAUACCAAUCGUUUUACCACUAUAAAAUCUGCGCCUUUAUCGCUAUCCCUCAUUCAAAGAAAUUUAACAAACCAUCUUUUAUCUAUGUAGGUUGAGGCAUAACAACUAACCAACAUAAUGAUAAUAGUUUUAUUAUGGACAUAACCUCAGUUUUGUCGCGCCGAAUUUCAUUUUAAGUGUUUGUGCUUGUUUGGAAUUGACAUUUUCAAAUUUUAAAAAAAUAAUGAUGAUGAAGUGAGUCAAAUAAAUUUGAAAAUUAAUACCUUAAUUGACAACAUAGGAAGUUUGAUAAAGACACGACAAUUUGAAGCUGAUGUACAAUCAUAUUCAUUGGAACAUAAUGUAAAAAAAUUGUAUCAAAAAAUUCCUAUUAAGGAUGAAGGUGAACUAAUGGAUAUGGAACAUAGGUUGGAUGAUGACAAGAAUAGGCAAGUCAUGGUUAGCUGUUAAAAUUAAAUAUAGGAAUCAUAAUAAUGUACCACUGCGGAAGUGUCUGAAUUAGCAAGAAUUGGAGGAAAUUCUGUUGACCAAAAAUUGAGAAAAGUUAUGUAUAGAACAUUGACAAACCAAAUUGCUAUUCAAUUUUCGUGUGAGGGGGCCAAAAGCAAGAAAGCAUUUAAAAAUUUGAAACUGGCCUUUUAGAUUCAAUCAAAUUGCAAGAAGGGAGGCAGCUGAGAAUGAUAUAAUUGAUAUUAUAAAAUACUGGCUUGUUAAAGCUAAAGAGAGAAUUUCAAGAAAGGAAAAAAAUAUACUUACAAAUUGG